CACAGCACAACCACAAUAAAUACCAACCGGACAAUCAAACCCCUAGAACAUCACUGAGCCACACUAUAAAUAUAGCUGCACUAAUGUUAAAACAAGUAACAAGACCUAGUUCUCUAGGCGCACUCAUGACCCAGCAAUAGAAAAACUACUGGACAUUAACAGACCAUAAUAGGUAGAACAAACCAAAAGAAACUCCUGUUUAACCAACUGUCAAACCAACACCGGGGCGCCUCAAAGAAAGAUUUAAAGUCAUAUAAGGAACUCAGCAACCCUUGUCCCAACUGUUUACCAAAAACAUAGCCUUUAGCCAAACAAGUUUUAAAGGUCCCGCCUGCCCAGUGAAACAUUUUUAACGGCCGCGGUAUUCUAACCGUGCAAAGGUAGCGUAAUCACU
rnacentral:rRNA from 1 species